UGGAACAGGGCGCCACUGAGGGUGAGAGCCCCGUAGCGUGCAUGUCGACACCUGUGAGGCCCUUCUGACGAGUCGAGUUGUUUGGGAAUGCAGCUCUAAGUGGGUGGUAAAUUCCAUCUAAGGCUAAAUAUUGGCGAGAGACCGAUAGCGAACAAGUACUGUGAAGGAAAGAUGAAAAGCACUUUGAAAAGAGAGUGAAACAGCACGUGAAAUUGUUGAAAGGGAAGGGUAUUGGGCUCGACAUGGGAUUUACGCAUCGUUGCCUCUCGUGGGCGGCGCUCUGGGUUUUUCCUGGGCCAGCAUCGGUUUUCGUUGCAGGAUAAGGACAAUUGGAAUGUGGCUCCUCGGAGUGUUAUAGCCUUUUGUAGAUGCUGCGUAUGGGGACCGAGGGCUGCGGCGGACUCGUUUCGUCUCGGAUGCUGGCACAACGGCGCAAUACCGCC
rnacentral:rRNA from 1 species